rnacentral:Y_RNA from 1 species
AGCUGGUCCAAAGGUGGUGCAUUAUCUUGACUGGAGAUUCACAGAGCAGGUCAAACUCCUUGUUCCACUCUUUCCCCUUCUCAUGACUGCACUUGACAAGUCUUAA